UACGUAGGGUGCGAGCGUUAAUCGGAAUUACUGGGCGUAAAGCGUGCGCAGGCGGCUUUGCAAGACAGAUGUGAAAUCCCCGGGCUCAACCUGGGAAUUGCGCUUGUGACUGCAAGGCUGGAGUGCGGCAGAGGGGGAUGGAAUUCCGCGUGUAGCAGUGAAAUGCGUAGAUAUGCGGAGGAACACCAAUGGCGAAGGCAAUCCCCUGGGCCUGUACUGACGCUCAUGCACGAAAGCAUGGGGAGCAAACAGG
rnacentral:rRNA from 1 species